GAUGAACGCUGGCGGCGUGCCUAAUACAUGCAAGUCGAGCGAACGGACGAGAAGCUUGCUUCUCUGAUGUUAGCGGCGGACGGGUGAGUAACACGUGGAUAACCUACCUAUAAGACUGGGAUAACUUCGGGAAACCGGAGCUAAUACCGGAUAAUAUUUUGAACCGCAUGGUUCAAAAGUGAAAGACGGUCUUGCUGUCACUUAUAGAUGGAUCCGCGCUGCAUUAGCUAGUUGGUAAGGUAACGGCUUACCAAGGCAACGAUGCAUAGCCGACCUGAGAGGGUGAUCGGCCACACUGGAACUGAGACACGGUCCAGACGACUACGGGAGGCAGCAGUAGGGAAUCUUACGCAAUGGGCGAAAGCCUGACGGAGCAACGCCGCGUGAGUGAUGAAGGUCUUCGGAUCGUAAAACUCUGUUAUUAGGGAAGAACAUAUGUGUAAGUAACUGUGCACAUCUUGACGGUACCUAAUCAGAAAGCCACGGCUAACUACGUG
rnacentral:rRNA from 1 species